AUUGAACGCUGGCGGCAUGCCUUACACAUGCAAGUCGAACGGCAGCACGGGAGCAAUCCUGGUGGCGAGUGGCGAACGGGUGAGUAAUAUAUCGGAACGUGCCCAGUAGUGGGGGAUAGCCCGGCGAAAGCCGGAUUAAUACCGCAUACGACCUGAGGGUGAAAGCGGGGGAUCGCAAGACCUCGCGCUAUUGGAGCGGCCGAUAUCAGAUUAGCUAGUUGGUGGGGUAAAGGCCCACCAAGGCAACGAUCUGUAGCUGGUCUGAGAGGACGACCAGCCACACUGGGACUGAGACACGGCCGAGACUCCUACGGGAGGCAGCAGUGGGGAAUUUUGGACAAUGGGCGCAAGCCUGAUCCAGCCAUGCCGCGUGCGGGAAGAAGGCCUUCGGGUUGUAAACCGCUUUUGUCAGGGAAGAAAUCCUUUGAGCUAAUACCUCGGGGGGAUGACGGUACCUGAAGAAUAAGCACCGGCUAACUACGUGCCAGCAGCCGCCGUAACAC
rnacentral:rRNA from 1 species